rnacentral:misc_RNA from 1 species
CAGUGUUAUUUAUGUAAGUUUAAGAGAAGUUUAUGUAUUAAAUUAUUGAUAUUAAAUAGUUUUAUUAGGCUUAGACUUAAUUUUAGGUCAUUUUGGGGGUUUAGCUCAGUUGGCUAGAGCAUCGGCUUUGCAAGCCGAGGGUCAAGGGUUCGAGUCCCUUAACCUCCAUUGGGCUUAUGCCCUAAAUUGUAAUUAAGUAUGUUUUUAAGUAACUUUGUUAAAGUAAUUGUUGGAAUGUGAAACACAAGAAGUUAAAAUUUCUGGGUUAAGUUGAGAUCUGUUGAUAUUAAGAAAAAUGUCUAGAAGCAAAAGCAAGCUUUCGAUAAAACCCGAAGUUGUUUCGCUAAAGUGCAAGGAUUAAACAGGAUUGUAUUUUUCAGCAGCCUAUUUUAUAAACGAUCUGCAUUUAGUAAAUAGUUUUUAGUUAGGAAAUAAUGUAGAUUACUAAGUGUGAUGUCUGAGAGAAGGACAAGUAUUGUAGCGAGCUUAAAUCCUUAUUAUCGUUGCCAGUAUUUAGUGGUAGGGAUUCGGAUAAGAUUGCCAGUUAUAAGUUGGAGGAAGGCAAAGAUUGCAUUAAAUCGUUAUCGCUCUUAUGUUUUAGGUUACAAGUUUGCAACAAUAACUCAAAAAAGCCAAGCAAAAUACUAUAAAGCAGAUUUCAGUUUGGAUUUGCCCGACACUCAAUGGCAUGAAGUUGUAAUUGUUAGUAAUCGUGU